AGCAACAUGAUGCGAUCUCUAUAUUUGCUACUUCAGAGGGCUUGCCCGAUGAGACCAACUUUCCACCAAGAUCUCUGAUCCU
rnacentral:snoRNA from 1 species